AUGGCGCCACGAACCCUCCUGCUGCUGCUCUCCACGGCCUUGCUGCUGACCAAGACCUGGGUGGAAUCCCACUCUUUGAGGUAUUUCUACACCGCCGUGUCCCGGCCCGGCCGCGGGGAGCCCCUCGUCAUCGCCGUGGGCUACGUGGACGACACGCAGUUCGCGCGAUUCGACAGCGACGCCGCGAGUCCAAGGAUGGAGCCGCUGGGGCCGUGGGUGGAGAAGGAGGGGCCGGAGUAUUGGGAGGAGGAGACACAGACAGCCCUGGACACCGAACAGAAUUUCCGAGUGGAACUGCGGACCCUGCUCCGCUACUACAACUAUAGCGAGGCCGGGUCUCACACCUACCAGGGAGUGUUUGGCUGCGACCUGGGGCCCCACGGGCGCCUCCUCCGCGGGUAUUACCAGUUCGCCUAUGACGGCAAGGAUUACAUCUCCCUGAAUGAGGACCUGCGCUCCUGGACCGCCGCGGACCUGGCGGCUCAGAUCACCCAACACAAGUGGGAAGCACAGAAACACGCGGAGGAGGUCAGGGCCUACCUGGAGGGCACGUGUGUGGAGCGGCUCCGCAGAUACCUGAAGAACGGGAAGGAGGCGCUGCAGCGCGCGGAUCCCCCAAAGGCACAUGUGACCCACCACCCCCUCUCUGACCAUGAGGCCACCCUGAGGUGCUGGGCCCUGGGCUUCUACCCUGCGGAGAUCACACUGACCUGGCAGCGGGAUGGGGAGGACCAAACUCAGGACAUGGAGCUUGUGGAGACCAGGCCAGCAGGGGAUGGAACCUUCCAGAAGUGGGCGGCUGUGGUGGUGUCUUCUGGAGAGGAGCAGAGAUACACGUGCCACGUGCAGCACGAGAGGCUGCCAGAGCCCCUCACCCUGAGAUGGGAGCCAUCUUCCCAGCCCACCAUUUCCAUCGUGGGCAUCGUUGCUGGCCUGGUUGUCCUUGGAGCUGUGCUCACUGGAUCUGUGGUCGCUGCUGUGAUGUGGAGAAGAAAGAACUCAGGUAGGGAAGGGGUGUAAGGUGGGGUCUGAGUUUUCUUAUCCCACUGGGAGUUUCAAGCUCCAGGUAGAGAUGUGCCCUGCCUUGUUACUGGGAAGCACCAGCCUGGGGCCCUGUGUACCAGCACUUACUCUUUUGUAA